AGGGGACCUGUGGACUCAGCAGAGGGAACAGAAAAUGGAAAAGUGCUGAGAGGCUGUGGGUCCACGACCGAGGUUCCGCAGAGUCCGUGUUUGGUGAGAGCUUGGGACUUGGAGGCUGGGGUCGAAGUCCACAGCUUGCUGAAAUCUCGCUGUUGCAUCGAGCCUGCUCUUCAGCCGUGAAUGAGUUAACCAGAAGGCGCCAGGUCUUCCAAUACAGAAGCAAUCCAGCACCGGAAGCAACACCAGCCAAGAUUGGUAUCUGUUUAUUCCUGAUGCUUGAGACAUAUUUGUUAUAUGUGCUUUUUAUUGAAGGAGCUUUUUUCAUAGAUAACUCGAUACAAAUUAUU